rnacentral:rRNA from 1 species
GACGAACGCUGGCGGCGUGCUUAACACAUGCAAGUCGAACGGAAAGGCCCCUUUGGGGGUACUCGAGUGGCGAACGGGUGAGUAACACGUGAGUAACCUGCCCUUGACUCCGGGAUAACUUCAGUAAACUGGGGCUAAUACCGGAUAGGAAUCCUUGCUGCAUGGUGGGGGUUGGAAAGCUUCGGCGGUUUUGGAUGGACUCGCGGCUUAUCAGCUUGUUGGUGGGGUAGUGGCUUACCAAGGCGUUGACGGGUAGCCGGCCUGAGAGGGCGACCGGCCACAUUGGGACUGAGAUACGGCCCAGACGCCUACGGGAGGCAGCAGUGGGGAAUAUUGCACAAUGGGCGGAAGCCGGAUGCAGCAACGCCGCGGGCGGGAUGACGGCCUUCGGGUUGUAAACCGCUUUCAGCAGGGGCGAAGCUUGUGGUGACGGUACCUGCAGAAGAAGCACCGGCUAACUACGUG